rnacentral:tRNA from 2 species
GACUCCUUAGCUCAGUUGGUAGAGCAACUGACUCUUAAUCAGUGGGUCUAGGGUUCGAAUCCCUAAGGAGUCACCA